AGAUCAGACACCUCGCUCGUUCUGUUUCCCCAAAUCCCCACACCCCACUCUUCACUCCCGUGGUAAGCUAGGGUUCUCCUCGUCCCCCGGCGGCAGGAUGGGCGGCGGCGCGGCGGGCCACGGCCAGGCCAGCGCUGCCCCUCCCAUGGAUCCGGCCGUCCUUGAGCACCGGCGCGAGCCCCGUGCUCGUGUGCUUCCGCCGCGACGCGGCCUGCAGGAGACGGCAACGCUGCCGAUCCCCGACGAGCUCGUGGCGGAGAUCUUCCUCCUGCUGCCCCCAACAGAUCUGGUCCGCGCCUCCGCCGCCUGCGCCUCGUUCUACCGUCUCGUCGCCAGCCGCUCCUUCCUCCGGCGCUUCCGCAAGCUCCACCCCCCGCCCCUCCUCGGCUUCCUCGAUGACCGAGUCUUCCACCCCGUAACCCCGCCUUAUCCAUCCGCGUCCGCAGCCAACGCCGUCGCCCUCGCCGCCGACUUCUCCUUUUCCUUCCUACCCGGCCCCGCCCGUGACUGGGAGGUCCUGGACGUCCGCGACGGCCGCGUCCUCCUUAAGAGGCCCGGCCGGCAGCACCCCGAAAUGGUGGUGUGUGACCCCUUGUACCGGCGGUACCUCCUGCUUCCCCUGUUCCCCGACGACCUAGCCGCUUCAUUGGAGGGCCCAUCCGCGAUAAAAUGGCGUGAAUCCUUCCUCGUCCCAGCCGGCGACGAGGAGGCAGCAACUGCGGAAGAGACGUCAUUCAGAGUUAUCUGGAUGGCGCAGUGCAAAUUCAGACUGUUCACCUUUGUCUUCUCCUCUCGCACUGGACAAUGGGGAGCUGUUCCAUCCCCGAGUUGGAGUGAUUUAUUUGCUGGCUUGCCAAGUUUGGAGAUGGCUACACCUCUCAACACACGCCAAUAUGCGUAUGGCUGCUUUUACUGGAUGGCGGGUUACAUGGCAGAAGCUAAAAUGCUGGUGCUCGACACCUGGAGGAUGGAGUUCUCCGUUGCUGAAUCCCCACCUGAUGGUUUCGCUAUGGCCAUGGUGGAGGCCGGGGAAGGCAGGGCUGGGGUGUUCGUGCAUGCUCAUGUGGGAUCCAAGUUCAGUUAUAGCAUUAGGCAAAAUGAUGGUGGGAGUUUGAGCCAGUGGCAGGAGAAGAAAACAGUAUCAUUGGGUUAUGGAUACUACAUCAUGGGUUCAACGGAGAGGUACUUGUUCUUGUAUCAGCUGCAGAGCCCAUUGCCUAAUCCAGGCGUUUUCACGCUGGAUGUCCAAACAUUCCAGCUCGAGAGAGUGUGUGGUCAACACUUGGGCCACGCAUAUAGUAACUUCCCACCAUCGUUGUUGUUGUCACCGACAGUAUGAAACGAGGACGGCAAGCCUUCCUUGGUGACGACCAGGGGGCCACAGAAGAGACAUCCUUCAUAGUGAUCUCGAUUGUAAGGCGCGGAAAUAAGCAGGGGGCUUUUGUCUUCUCUUCCGCCACCGGACAAUGGCGAGCUAGUAUAUGGACUGCAGAGUUUGGUUUCUUCUUCAGGCUUUGGCACACCAAUGGCUGCUUCUAUGGGGUGACAAAAUGCAUGAAAAAGUUGCUAGCACUUGACACCCAGAGGAUGGAGUUCUCACUUUCUGACCUCCCACCCGAAGCCGGAGAUUUUUUGCAACAACCCAUAUGUCCUUGCAGACAAUACAUGAAUAUAGCCAUUGUGGAGGCAGGGGAAGGCAUCACUGGGAUGUUUGUGCUUCUAAAUGGCACAUCUAACAUCAGUUAUCUAAUUAGGCGAAACAAUGGUGGGAGUUCCAACCAGUGGCAGUUGAAGAAGACAAUCCCACUGGAUUCUUCUAGCUACAUUUUCACGAGUUCAACAGGGAGGUACUUGGUUCUAUUACAUUGGGGAAGAGAAGACAGGGACACUUUCACGUUGGAUAUCAAAACAUUCCAACUUGAGAAGGUGUUCACUGGUUUCGGUUCGCAGUAUGUAUAUAGAAACUUCCCACCGUCAUUGUUGUCGUCACCGACAAUAUCAUGUGGUGUUGAGAAUGAGGCCGAGGAGACGCUGGAACAAGGUUGCACUGCAAGCUCAAGCGCAUAGUCUCCAGGGUUAGAAUACGCUGAGAUGAAUGCAAGAGGUCAGGCUGAUUUGUUGAUGAUAACAUGGUGGCGAGGUUGUUAUGCAACUUGAUAAUUGACCACUAAGUUUGGUCUGCUUUUGCCCUUUGGUCUGUAAUAUGGACAUCCGGAAGGAUAAAAUAGAACCUGGAGUAUUUUAUCUUGCGCUCGUUGGCCUGGCAGUGAUUGAUGUGUUUGUUUGUCGGAUAAGGUAGCGAGAGCAGUAACGAAAGUUCAGUUUCUCUGGGUCAUUAGAUUAACUAAGGCCCUGUAAGAAGUGAAAGUACGAUUAUGUUUUCUUAGGAUUCAUGUAUUCUUGUUUGCAAUCAUUUUUAUCUGGCUUUUUAUCAA